UACGUAGGGGGCAAGCGUUGUCCGGAAUUAUUGGGCGUAAAGCGCGCGCAGGCGGUCUUUUAAGUCUGAUGUGAAAGCCCACGGCUUAACCGUGGAGGGCCAUUGGAAACUGGAGGACUUGAGUACAGAAGAGGAGAGUGGAAUUCCACGUGUAGCGGUGAAAUGCGUAGAGAUGUGGAGGAACACCAGUGGCGAAGGCGACUCUCUGGUCUGUAACUGACGCUGAGGUGCGAAAGCGUGGGUAGCGAACAGGAUUAGAUACCCUGGUAGUCCACGCCGUAAACGAUGAGUGCUAGGUGUUAGGGGGUUUCCGCCCCUUAGUGCUGCAGUUAACGCAUUAAGCACUCCGCCUGGGGAGUACGGCCGCAAGGCUGAAACUCAAAAGAAUUGACGGGGACCCGCACAAGCGGUGGAGCAUGUGGUUUAAUUCGAAGCAACGCGAAGAACCUUACCAGGUCUUGACAUCCUCUGACGGCCCUAGAGAUAGGGAGUUCCCUUCGGGGACAGAGUGACAGGUGGUGCAUGGUUGUCGUCAGCUCGUGUCGUGAGAUGUUGGGUUAAGUCCCG
rnacentral:rRNA from 1 species